AUGCUUUCCAGUUUCCCCCUCUCUGCUGCAGUUGGGAGUCCAAAACCAAGUCCUUCACCAGCAUUGACUUUCCUCAGUGUGCUGGCCGUGCUUCUGAUGGAGCCAACUACACAGUUUGCUCUAUCUGUGAGGGGAGAGUGGUGUUGGCUCGCAUUCAACCUUGAUGUUCAUGCAACUCCCAGCUCCUUUUUAGGUUGCUCAUCAAAAUUGCAGCCUGGAACGUGCUGGACUGUGUUACAGUUCAGUGCGCCUGAAUGUUGCUCUGUCUUCAAGCAAGAACUUUCCUUAUGAAGGGUGGGAUUGUCUGAAGGUCCGUGGAUGAGUUCACAUUGUUCUCUCAGCUCAGAGCACAGGCAGCAAGCAGCAACCUGCAGCCCUUUGUGUUGUGACAGACGUGCCCUGAACCUGUGGCAUGGUUCUUGCAAGAAGACGACGAAUGGGAAUAUUGAACCUUAAGUUGGAAAGGUUCAGUCACUGGGGAAGAGCUCUAUGUAGAGGUUAUAUUAGAGUAGCAGAGCUAUGUUAGAAUAGCGUAACUGUGCUUAUGCUCUAGCUAUGUAUUGUCUGCCCUGUUCAUGUGAAUUGUGGAAGCAUCCAGAGAUCUGCUGGCAGUGACCUUUUUUUNNNNNNNNNNNNNNNNNNNNNNNNNNNNNNNNNNNNNNNNNNNNNNNNNNNNNNNNNNNNNNNNNNNNNNNNNNNNNNNNNNNNNNNNNNNNNNNNNNNNNNNNNNAAAAAAAAAAAAAAAAAAAAAAAACAAAACAAGCAAACAACAACAACAAAAAAAAAAAACCCACAAAACAAGCUUUUUCUUUUUUAAAUUAAAUUUUAAAUAAAAUAAAAUAUAUAAAAAAAAUAAUUACACUGUUCCUUAGUUUUUUAUCCUAGUGUGGCCAGGGCAUUAGGUAAAUGUAGAAAUGUGGUUGCAGACAUUUGAAUGAGGGAAGACAAAUGGCACCUUCUCGACCAAGAGAUUCCUGGAGACAUUUGCAUGUAAAACAACUGGAGAUGUAGUGCCCUUAAAAGGGGAACGUGACUUCAAAGUCAGCAAAGGGUGGUGGGGAUAAAAUGAUGAGGAACUUGGGUUUACUGUGGGCUGCCUGGAGUCAAGAAUAAGGGGAAGAGGUGUGGUACAGUUACACCUUUCUUACCUACAAAAAUCUGUGGCAAUUUCUGCUGGAGAAUGAGGCAAUACCAGCUAAACUACUGGCUAAAUAGCUACAAAGGUCUGUAGCAUGUCACGUUUCAAUGCAGAGAUUCCCACUUGCUCUCAAGUCCUAGAAUUUUCAAAGAUGCUCUUAAUUUUUAUUUUUCUUUUGCUAUCCAUCUCUUUUGCUAUGCUCUCUACUUUUGUGGGGAUGGAUGUUUGGAAAGCAGUUAGUGUUCAUCUUCCCCAUCUGUUCUGAUUCUGGCUAUGUCUGCCUUUUUGAAGAUUUUCUGAGUCUGUGCUGGGAAUGCAUUUCUUUUGCUAGUGUUGAGAGAUUUAUAUUUUUAAUGGGUAUUUGUUUUAUCUAUCUUUGCUAGAUUUAUUCAUUUGAUAAUCUUAAUGUUUCAGCAAUGUAGGCAAUCUUCUCAUGUCCUGAUCUAGCAUGCAGGGAUUUUAUAAAUUUAACAGUUUGGCUUUUGGAUCAGAUAGUCAGCAGAGGUAAAUCCUGCAAUGUGCUGAGUAUGUUCAACACCACUGAAACUGAGGGUAUUGGUAACUUGCAGGGUGCCUGAAGCAUCUUUGAGGAUUGUGUUCUUAGUAUCUUUCUUUACACAUGAAGCAUGUGAAUAAGUUACUCUGCAGUGCACGUCUUUCCUUGCUAGACUCUGUCCUUUAAUAUGAUUUCUCUCUAGUAAGUUACUUUUAAAAUAUUUCUUGUUCUCUGAUACAGAAACUACUGACUUAUUGCUACAUUAAAAAAUAAUCAAUAUUUUAAUACUUAAUAAUUCAGAUCCUUUAUCAGAGAGCAUAAUACCUCCACUUUUUAAAACUAAGUUUGAGAUGUUAUAUUUAGGGCCAAAAUUCUAGGUUUCGGAAGGAGGCCAAUAAUAUAUUUUCCCGAUGUCAUGCCUGGAACAGCAGGGGAAUAGGGACAGUGAUCCAGGGGUGCUUCAUAUACCUACAAGGUGAAAUGCAACAGCAGCCCCAGCAGCAGGCUUGGCAGAGCUCUGACUUUGGCAGGCCAGCACACUCGUGGCACUGACAGCACAAACAUUUUGUGGCAACUGUGCAAAGCAGGCAGCCAAUUAUUUUACUAAUGAUUGCUUCUCAGUGCUCUCCUCCUUCAUCUGCCCUAGAGAGGAAAACUUUCUCCCCUGUAUUCUGUCCUCUUGGAUAAUGGCCUGAACGGAUUAUUUCUGUAAAGAUGCGGUGAUAACACCGCAGUGGUCUGUGCUGUGUGGGACUCAGCUAUGUAAUUACAUUUCUUUAAAUUUCCUCCUUUUCUAGACUUUAUUUGUAGACCCA
rnacentral:lncRNA from 1 species